GACGAACGCUGGCGGCGUGCUUAACACAUGCAAGUCGAACGGAAAGGCCCUGCUUUUGUGGGGUGCUCGAGUGGCGAACGGGUGAGUAACACGUGAGUAACCUGCCCUUGACUUUGGGAUAACUUCAGGCAACUGGGGCUAAUACCGGAUAGGAGCUCCUGCUGCAUGGUGGGGGUUGGAAAGUUUCGGCGGUUGGGGAUGGACGCGCGGCUUAUCAGCUUGUUGGUGGGGUAGUGGCUUACCAAGGCUUUGGCGGGUAGCCGGCCGGGGAGGGUGACCGGCCACAUUGGGACUGAGCUACGGCCCAGACUCCUACGGGAGGCAGCAGUGGGGAAUAUUGCACAAUGGGCGGAAGCCUGAUGCAGCAACGCCGCGUGCGGGAUGACGGCCUUCGGGUUGUAAACCGCUUUCGCCUGUGACGAAGCGUGAGUGACGGUAAUGGGUAAAGAAGCACCGGCUAACUACGUG
rnacentral:rRNA from 1 species